UUGGGCUUUAAGUACUGAGAUGAGCUACGUUCAGAGCAGAGUUUGUUUCAUCGUCUGUGUCUGAGAUAGAGCUCGUGUGUGCAGGAUUGUUCCAGUGAAUGAGAGACCACUGGUGUCACUGCCUCAGAGCCACCAGCAGCUCCACUGCUGUGUGGGACACAUCAGCACGAUGGCUGGUCAAACACAUGCCUUCCUGCAAGCAUGUGGGGCUGGGUGAGCACAGAGAGCUGGGAGAUGAAUGUCAGGAACACCUGAGUGAGCUGCUGGUGGAUGCCAUGGGAUGAAAAACCAUCAUCGGCACCUUUGUUGAUGUCUGUUGCUUUGUAAGAACAGCUCCCUCUGAUACUCUCACUUAGACUUUCCC
ensembl:lncRNA